GACUGGAACUCAAGACAUUGUUCCCAAAUUCUGCCAACUCCCAACCUCUAGUCCCAGCAAACUGUGAGCAAACUAUGUAACCUCUGAACCUCAUCUAUGAAAAGAGGACAUCCUGACAUCUCCCCAGACACCAACUUCUGCCUUGUUCAGAUUAUCAUGAGGGUUAUGAGGAGAAGCAGAGCUACAACCCCAGAACCCAAGGUCCAAACCAGGCCACAAGUGUCUUCCUGGCCACCAACAACCCUCCAACUUUUUCUGAGUGGGAGCCGAGCCUUUGCAAGCAGCCCACAAGCCCUCAGCAGCCCUCUUCCAGUCAGGUCUCUCCCCCUUGGUUGCCCCAGCAACCCUUGCUCCUGGCACCCCUGGAUCCAUGACUCCAAGACCCUGGAGCAACCACCUAUUUUGCUGCAGAAACCCUGGGCUCCAGGAAGGAGCAGCCACUUGGACGAGAUCUUCCAGCUCCCUGGGGCCAAGGAAGCAGAUCAGAGGCCUGGACAGCUGCAGGAUGCUAUUGAGAGCCUGGUUCCUGGAUGGCCAGGCCCUUUCUGA
rnacentral:lncRNA from 1 species